CAAAAUCACAACAAUAUAGAGAAAAAAAUGCAGUAGCGUAAUUAAAAGUCAGGGAAGCAAUAACAACAGCAAAAUAAUAGAGCAACUAAAACACGAGCAAUAUCAGAUAGGAAUAUGAAAAUACUAGAUUAACAUUUAAUAAAUUCGAUUUUAUUGGAGAAAUUUCUGACGUGGUUGAAAUUUGUGAUUUGCUCCGUUAGUUAUGGUGGCUUUUUGUGUGGUUGAUGAAGAGCUUGCUGGGUUUGGAAUUGUGGGCCAAAUAAAUCUGGUAUUUGAUUACAAUUUCACAAAGUGAAGAGGAAAAGUUCGUAGCACAUAGACACAUCAUAUGCAUAUUGCAUCAUUAAUAGCAAAAGGGCAAUCAAAGCUCAACCACCCAUUAUAUUAGCUUUGAAACACCUUUUUGGUUCCAAAGUUUUAGAAUAUACUUUUGAUUUUGUUCCUUAAACAAAUGGAAAUUAGUUAUGUGCAGUUUAGUUGGAUUGUGUUGGUGCAUGUGCUGGUUUCACUGGUUUCUUAGUGCAGUCAAAAAGCAGUUGAAUUUUCAAAUGUAACAUGGAAGAGUCAAUGCCAGAUAGGUGCUAUGUAAACUAACAAUUAGUCUACUGAAGAAAUGAAUAACUUUGCCAAAGAGAGCUAUGUUGCUUAAGGCCACUGCUUUGGAUAAGUUCUCUUUUACUAGUUUAUUUCAUAUCUUAUUAAUUAAUUGUUGCUUCAGUUACUAAGCAUCACUAUUCAUUGCACCACCACUGAAAUGUGGCGAUUAUUCUAAAGGAUGCAUCAAGUUUGAAAAAAUUCCAGGCCGAAUAAUAAGCGUCACCAAAACAAACACUACUACCAGUCAACUUCAAGGUCAGCAGUGAGAUCGUUGAACAUUGCUGUGAGAGGCGUAAUACGGCCAGGCCUGGACAUUGUGCAUCUCAAUUAAUUCCCUCACAAGCUGAUUGUCCUGCUCAGACAAAUUAGUACUAACGAAGUUUGAAUUUUGUCUAUAGGGCGUCAAAUUUUGAGCCACAGCAAAGAGAAUGGGAAAUCUACUCUUCUCUAGCUUUGUCUGUGCAGUUCUUCCUCCAGUGUAGCGGAAAUACUGUGGGAUAUUCUGACGCAUUAACAGCCCUGUAAGUAUCACUAAGAUUGAGUGCCUCUUGUCCAACAUUUAAUACAGGAGAUGCUGUCAAAAUUAAUGUCUCAUA